CGGCUGGGAUCGGUAUUGGCUUAUUUUAUUUCAGUGUUUCCGAACCAAUCUCACACUAUGAACCAGGAAAACCAAAUCGCUAUUGGGGAAGGUAUGUAAGGAGUUUUAUUGCUUCUUUAUAAUCGUUUGUCAGUCGAGUUUGUCAGUCGAAUAGUUUGUCAGACGAACCGUUUUCAAACACUCCCAUACCUCGUGGUAUUGGGGUAAUAAAUAUUAAUUUGUGCCACAAAGGCAUAAACGCACAAACGCUAGUAGCAUCGUAUAAACUAUAAAAGCCAUUAUUUUUACAAUGGAGCGUUACGUUCCAUCGUUUUUAUAUAGUUCAUAUUAUGACAUGUCUUCUUAACAGCCUAUUGCAUUUUCAAAGUAGGGAUUUCUUCAAAUUUUCAAUGUCAUAGUGCAUUACAAAAAAUGAUUACAUUAUUAGUUCAAAUAAACAAUUCGCUAUUGGGCGCCAUUCAUUCACCAAAAAACGAUAUUCUCGAUCUCGUGUUUGUGCGAGUACAAAGUACUUCCGCGAACAUUUUCACAAUAAUAAAUUUCACAAUAAUAUGUUUUAUAUAUUUGUUUCAUUUUGUAAUAUCCGGUAUAUUUUGUAUAUUUGUUGUGUUUAGUUGUAGUAAAAUGGUAAUAAGCUUUUUAAAAAUAAGCCGUUGACUAGCGUAUUCCGGCAUUUCUAAUUUUUAAUGUAAAAUCCAAGGCUAAUUUCUUUCCUGAAUUGUGUGGCUGCAUUUUUGUUUCUAAGUACAAUGAAUAUCCGGGUCUCGUAUUUCAUUGUACAGACAAUACAGCAAAACUUAUGUGAUUGAAAAUAAUUUGAAAUUUCUAUUAGUAGUGUGGUACACAUUUUCAGAAACCCAAAGAAGUUCGUUUUACCAGAAACCCUUUGCAAAUGUUUUGUUACUAACAAUAUCAAUUUAACUUUCAUUUUUGCAUUGCAUUGCUUUUCAAAUUUUAAAUUCCUCCACUAAUCGGACAGCUGAAAUAUUCAUUUUAGCUAAUCACGUAGCUUCAUUUUUUAUAAAGUGAUGCUUAUUUUAAGCCUGACUGAUUUCAUACCCUAAUUAUACCACAUAUUUUGGUGUAUAUACAAAAAUAUUUUUUAACAUAGACGAUUUCUGUCUUAUUACUAAGAUCUGAUUCUGUGGGCACAAUACAUUGUCUUUCAAUUGGCAAGUAUUGCAAGACUUAUCUAGAAACUUUCACAACAUACACUAGAUUGAUCCAAGAACAUAGAAAUCUAUAUGUUUGUCUUGUAACAAGUCUUGUACUUUGUCCUGCAAAACCUGUAACAUGUACCUGCCAUCUGUAUAUCAAUGUUCUAUUUAUGUUCUUUGUGUGUUAAAUCUAGCAUGUUUAUUGGCAAAGUUAAAUAAAUAAAUUGAUUUUCAUCUUUUCUUUGCCUUAAAGUGCAUUUUAGCUGUUUUGCUAAUACAUCUUGUGUAUUGAUAUACAUCUUGUAUAUCUUAGUUCCUGUGGAUAGUAAAUAUCAAUUUUAUAAUUUGUAAAGUCACUAAAGUGUCAUUGGUGUUUUUUUUUUGCUUACCUUAUGUGCCAAAAAUGUCUGUCUAGUGAUGUUAAAAGAUAUUGCUGUAUUACAAAGAUAUUGUAUUGCUAUUAAAUCAUGUUCCCCCCCAGCCUUAUUACUUGACUAAGAUUGCCCCAAUAUUGAUCUGUAUAGCAAGAGUUUAUUGCACUAGCAAACUGGCAGAAAAACUCUGGCAAGUCCAUUUAAAUUUUUUACAAAUUAUACAUAUUGCCAAUGCCAACACAAAGCUUCACCUUAUACCCUAGCAUUGCAACUUGUGAAAUGCCAGUGUCACAUUGGCCUAUUGAGUAAAUGAAACCCCUAACAAAUUUAUUACUUUGUAGAAUGUGAUUAGCAUGGUCAUGUUAUAGAAAUAUAAUUAAUCCCGUUAAAAUUUGGGAAAUAUAUAAAUGUUUGUGGAACAGGGCCAUGUUGGUAACAAAAUCUCUCAGAAUUUUAGAAGUCUUUCUUCAUCACCUUACAAUAAUAGCAUGUUUAUAUUCCACUGGUACUCUUCUAAAUAUCCAUGUUUGUAUGAGUAAGUUAGAAAAUAGUGCUUCAAGAAUUAUUUUCUAGGUACGCCAGGUUUUUACCUCCCAGAUUAAUCAUUAGGCACUUACUUGCAUUACCCAACGUCUUAAUUUAUUCUAUUUUGGACUUCGAGUCCUAUUGUAGCAUACCUGGCCACGUAAUAGCCAGGCAUGAUUGGGUACUUUUUAUAUUUACAUAAGCAUAAACUAUAAACUGAAUACGGAAUUAGACAAAAUUGCUCUCGUAUGUGUAUUGCACAUAAAUGUUUUGGAAUUUAACUACUGCCACAGUAGCCAUUUUCAUCAUGAAGAUGUGACCAGUCUAGUUUGAAAAUCCAGAAGAAGACAGAGUAUUAAUUAACUUCAUUGUGUCACAUGUCUAUAUCAAAAUAUUUGUUAAUACCCUGCUACUAGGCUAUAGUACUAAUUACCUAACCCCCUGCAACCAAAUAUUAUACCUAUAUAUUAUGAUUGCAUUUACUAUGUACAAAAUUGAUUUGAGAUGCAGUACUUACAUUAAGAUUAAUGCUGUUUUACCUGGUUUGGUCCAAGUGCUGCUUUGGUAACCCUAGGUUAACCCUAGGUUAACAGGGUAUUUUAGGCACUUCCCGUAAAUAUAUUAGAUGUUUACUCACUUACCUGAGUAGAGUAUAACCCUUCUGCUUAAAACUUUAACUGUUGAGGGUCCUAAAGGUGUAACUGCCCAGCGAGUCAUUCAAAUCAGUCUAUCCUUUAGUAAUGAAUUUUUUCACUUUUACAACCCCACUGAAAUGAUAGAGAUAUUUUUUGUUAUCCACAGUAUCGAUCAAUUACUAGUACAUAUGCAGUUUUCUAAAUAAUUUGGGUAUACUCACGAUGAUUUCUUUUAUUUUAUCAGGUGGGGCUGCUUGACAAUGUAGAAACCUAAAAUUCUAUCAAAUUUCUUGCUUAGAAUGCACACCGAUAUUGGGCGUCCUCGUUUUUACAUUUUUUCGAUUCAAACAAUACCAAACCCAUAUCGCAUGGAAUUUCUUAUUGCCUGUGCAUUCUUGGCACGGAAUUUGGUAGGGUUUUUAUAGUCGGGAAUUCCAUUCAAUAGACCAGUUAAAGACAAGGCACUCGGACAAUCAAAGAGCUCAAGAUGCUAUCAAUCUUACCUUGUUUCAUUGGGGCCUCCAUGGAUGGGUUGUCUAUUCCAUCACA